rfam:Gracilibacillus boraciitolerans JCM 21714 DNA, contig:contig_65.
GGCCCGUUGGUCAAGCGGUUAAGACAUCGCCCUUUCACGGCGGUAUCACGGGUUCGAAUCCCGUACGGGUCA